rnacentral:rRNA from 1 species
GACGAACGCUGGCGGCGUGCCUAACACAUGCAAGUCGAACGGAAAGGCCCUGCUUUUGUGGGGUGCUCGAGUGGCGAACGGGUGAGUAACACGUGAGUAACAUGCACUUGACUUUGGGAUAACUUCAGGAAAAUGGGGCUAAUACAGGAUAGGAGAUCCUGCUGCAUGGUGGGGGUUGGAAAGUUUCGGCGGUUGGGGAUGGACUCGCGGCUUAUCCGCUUGUUGGUGGGGUAGUGGAGUACCAAGGCUUUGACGGGUAGCCGGCCUGGGAGGGUGACCGGCCACCAUGGGACUGAGAUACGGCCCAGACUCCUACGUGAGGCAGCAGUGGGGAAUAUUGCACAAUGGGCGGGAGCCUGAUGCAGCAACGCCGCGUGCGUGAUAACCUCCUUCUGGUGGUAAACCACUGUCGCCGGUGACGAAGCCGUAGUGACGGUAAUGGGUAAAGAAGCACCGGCUAACUACGUG